UUUGGCAAUUGGUUAAAUCAAAGCUUUAUUGAUUGAGAACAUUGCAUUCAGUGAUGAAAUUGAUUUGCUUCAUCAACAUCUGAAAGACAGUGUGAAAGAAAUCCUGCUGCAUAAUACGAGACCUACUUAUUAGGAUUAUGUUGCCACACACACACAAGUGAGCUGUAGAUACCACAGAAUGGGGUCACAGUUACUCAAUAAGCAGUCCCUGCUUGAGGUCACCAAUAAUAUAGGCAUGAAACACAGAGCCAAAAAAAUCUAAUUAAAUAUUUUAUUCUACUUAUCUGAUGCCACACACAAACACAAACAAAUCAAUAAUGUGCAUUAGAAGGAACAACUUGUGAUAUAGCACAGAAAUAGUACACACAACUCAUAACACAGAAGUGUGUUUUUGUGUAAUUUACAAGACUGAAUUGAGUUAGCAAGAGAUUGAUCUUUAGAGUGAGGAAUGAUACAAAGUCAUACAGACCCACACAAUCACACCCACAAUCACACCCCCCACAUUUAUAUCACACAAGCCAUCCUCAGUUUCUAACUUGCCUCAGAAGAUUCCCUAAAGGAAAUUAGGUCACACCACACACACACACACACACACACACACACACACACACACACACACACACACACACACACACACACACACACACACACACACACACACGUAAUUAUAACAGCGUUCAAGAUUUUUCAAAUGUAAACCAGUGAGUAUUCCUUCAUGCAAGAUGCAUGCACUGCCGACAUUUUAUCUACCUCAAUGUCCCUUGUGAACAAGAACCUCUCCGACCCAGUAAUCCUUACACUACAAGACACGGCUGUUUGUGAUGCACCAUAAGACACGAGCUACAUAAGAAUGGUCCCAAAUGAAAAUACACUUUAGUUAUGGGGAGUGAGAGGACUGAUAAAACCACCCAACAAGGAAAGUGAAAUACGACUAAAUGGCAGCGAUGGGAAUCUCUCCCACACAUCUGCUGCUGAGACGCUGCAUAACAACUCAAUAAAACCGAAACAAAAUGAGUGGUGAAGCAUCGUUCACAAGGUGUAAAGAAAAGCGGGCCUCGCCCAACGAGAACUAGCCUGAAACAAGUCAGCCGCUAUGAGCUGCUGAUAAAGGCGGAAUUAGACGGUCAGUUUCAAAUAUUUACAAUAUUUACCUUUUUCCCAACCUCAGGCCAGACGACUGCAAACAGGAGGACAGCUCUGCCUACAAAUCGACUUUACGUCUUUGUGAAACCGGCAGUCGGGUGUAAAGGUUGGUGUACACAAGGGGUGAUAUAGUGGAAAUAUUGAUGUGGGGUCAAGCUUUGAUUUCAGUUUCAUUCCCAUGAGUUUGAGAGCAGAAAUACAGGGAUAGCACAUAUUCCGUCAGUAAUUAACAGUGUAAAAACUCAAAAAGUGCAUUAAAUACAUGGUUGACCAGGAGUCUGUGUGCUCACGGUAGAGAACUCAAACUAAACGUCCUGAAAGACAUUCCAGGUGAGCUGCUCUAUAAGAUUGUACAAAGUGGACGCAUCAGUUCUCCGGGAGACUUCACGCGUGUACUCCUCCAUCUGCUGCUCUCUGCAGCCAUCUGGCCAAUCAGAGCGAGGUACUGGACCCAGCCCGGGGGGCAGACCCCAUCACCUGUCGGUGGGCUGGCUGGCGCUGAAGGCCAGGUCCUCGGGCAGCAGUUGCUCCUCUGGAGAAAGAAGAACACGUUGGUUACUGUUCAAUCAUCUCAAUUGUUUCACCCAUUACCAGAUACAGUGUGUGGACUGUAAUCACAAAUACUUAUUUCACGGCUUAUGUUCUUAUGAAAUGACCUGUAUCCAUGAUACUAAUCAUUGAGUUCUGUUCCUUAUUUCACUGCUUAUGUUCUUAUGAAAUGACCUGUAUCCAUGAUACUUAUUAUCGAGUUCUGUUCCUUAUUUCACUUUUAAAUGACCCAUAUUUUCUGAUCUCAUGAUAGUCCACAAGGAGAAGGUCUCCCAUGCCCGUCAGUCUUAUCAUUUUUAAGCGUUAUAACCAAGGAAUGUCAUAUCAAUAUAGAGGAAGACAGACAGUGGGAUCAUCUUUUCACUCCUUUAAAUGUGCGUGAGUGUGCGUUUGUUGAGUCACCUGCAAAAGGCAGAGACUGGAUGUCGUAGGAGAGGUUUGCGUCCUCGUCCUCUGAGUCACAAUCUAUCUCGCUGUCGCUGCUCAUCCCUGGCAGCAGGUGCAGAGACUGCUUGUGGCCUGAGGAGCACAACAUACAAUCAGUAUCCACCAAAGCACAUUCAUUAAUCCAAUACACAAGAUGGGGACGAAUCUUUCAAAAAGACAACAGUCAGCCUUUGUCCUCGUAAUCACUGAACUAAGCCGUUACUGGGGUUCAGCCAAACAGGUAAGGCAGAGGUUAAUAUGAGGACCACGCUGAGGGGAGUAACGUCAGCCCCUGGCACACUAAAGUACCGGGUUACGGUCCGUAUGAGACGGCUCAACAGUUGUGGACUCAUUGAGUGGUGUUGGAUCCUUGUGUUUGCAACACUGAAUGAAGUCUAGUGUUGACAGGAUGACUUCUAAUAAAGAUCCCAUUUGUGGCCCUUUGAUAUUCCUGUUUUAUACAUGGAGACGCCCUGUGAUCUGAACGCCAACUCAUUUGUCCCAGAGUGUGUUGACCAAUGCUCCUUCAGGGAUCUAUUCUCUUAAUGUAUUGGCGGGUUGGUUUGAGGUUAAAGUCAGACAGCUUGGUAGCUGCCAUGUUGGCCAUUUCUACACUUGCUUGAUUCAACUGAAUACAUUUCACUUUGAUGAAAUUGUAACAUUGAGAACGUUGGCUAAUGGUGUUAACUUUGGAAAUACGCCCCAUAGAUCAUGCUGGCAGAAGACAAUCCAAAGUACAGACAACUGGAUUGACUGACACCCCGAAACACACUGCAGACAGCAGACCUCACAGUCCGGAGCAGGUCAGCCACAGGAUCCUGGGGCUGACCUAAUGAGUAUGGUCGGCCCCAGGAUGGGGUCUGGACCAGACCUAAGGAGCCAAGCAAAUAUCUCUGACUGUGUGAGGCACAUGCAAAACAGCUUGCUACAUGUGCAGAAACCUAAAACCGCCUGAACCCUGGGCGUGAUAUAAACAUGGACAAUAACAUCAGGGCACACGGGUUUACCUACCUUACCAAGCGUCUUAGAGUACCAUAUUAAGCGCUAUAUACAUUUUAUUUAUUAUUAUUACCUCUGGAAAGACAAUUCUGCCUCCAACCUGCUUUCUCCCCAGUGUGCGUGUAAACACAUUGAAUGUUUAAUAUA
ensembl:lncRNA